ensembl:misc_RNA 7SK 7SK RNA
AGAUGUCAGGGCGAUCUGGCUGCGACAUCUGUCACCCCAUUGAUCGCCAAGGUUGAUUCUGCUGAUCUGGCUGGCUAGGCGGGUGUUCCCUUUCCUCCCGCAACGAUCCAUGUGCUUCCCUCCCGAAGCUGCGCGCUCUCGGUGGAAAGGACGACCACCCCCAAUAGAGGAGGACCGUUCCUCGAUCAAGGGUAUACAAGUAGCUGCGCUCCCCUGCUAGAACCUCCAAACAAGUUCUCAGAAGAGAUUUUGACUUGUACUUUUGAAAAAAUACUAUAAUUAUUAGAGAUUAGUAAAACAAGCUUCUAGGUGGGCCUGUGAGUCAUAGAACCAUAACCU